rnacentral:rRNA from 1 species
UACGGGGCGCUGCAGUCGCGAAACCUUGCAAUACACGAAAGUGUGACAGGGUCAUCCCGAGUGCCGACCGCUGAGGUUGGCUUUUACCCAGUCUAGAAAGCUGGGGGAAUAAGGAGAGGGCAAGUCUGGUGUCAGCCGCCGCGGUAAUACCAGCUCUCCGAGUGGUGUGGACGUUUAUUGGGCCUAAAGCAUCCGUAGCUGGCUGAACAAGUCCCCUGUUAAACCCACCGAUUUAAUCGUUGGUCUGCGGGGGAUACUGCUCGGCUAGGGGACGAGAGAGGCAGACGGUAUUCCCGGGGUAGGGGUGAAAUCCUAUAAUCCCGAGAAGACCACCAGUGGCGAAGGCUGUCUGCUCGAACGCGCCCGACGGUGAGGGAUGAAAGCUGGGGGAGCGGACCGGAUUAGAUACCCGGGUAGUCCCAGCUGUAAACGAUGCAGACUAGGUGUUUGGACGGCCACGUGCCGUUCUAGUGCCGCAGGGAAGCUGUUAAGUCUGCCGCCUGGGGAGUACGAUCGCAAGAUUAAACUAAAGGAAUUGGCGGGGGAGCAC